GACGAACGCUGGCGGCGUGCUUAACACAUGCAAGUCGAACGGAAAGGCCCUGCUUUUGUGGGGUGCUCGAGUGGCGAACGGGUGAGUAACACGUGAGUAACCUGCCCUUGACUUUGGGAUAACUUCAGGAAACUGGGGCUAAUACCGGAUAGGGCCUCCUGCGCAUGGGUGGGGUUGGGAAAGUUUCGGCGGUGGGGGUUGGACCCGCGGCUUAUCAGCUUGUUGGUGGGGUAGUGGCUUACCAAGGCUUUGACGGGUAGCCGGCCUGAGAGGGUGACCGGCCACAUUGGGACUGAGAUACGGCCCAGACUCCUACGGGAGGCAGCAGUGGGGAAUAUUGCACAAUGGGCGGAAGCCUGAUGCAGCAACGCCGCGUGCGGGAUGACGGCCUUCGGGUUGUAAACCGCUUUCGCCUGUGACGAAGCGUGAGUGACGGUAAUGGGUAAAGAAGCACCGGCUAACUACGUG
rnacentral:rRNA from 1 species